rnacentral:lncRNA from 1 species
GAAAUUGCAUGGCACCAGAGUGUACACACUGAAUUUAAAGGACAAAAGUAGGAAUUAGGUUGCAGGGCUCCAGAUGGGUACCAGCAGCUAGUCCAUGUUUUGGCACAGAUUUGAACACUGAGAGGCCAACCAGAGUUCCCACCUGGCAUGCUCAACAAGCUGAAGACAGUUGAACAACCACAGCUGUCCUACUGUGGAUUGCACUUCACAUUCUUCCUGACCAGAUUCAGAGCACCUGUGUGUGUUUAUAAGUGAUGUGCAGACACCAGUGAGGGGCCCAACCAGCAGAGACUGAGUCUGGAUUCGAUCAUUCCGUGAAUUGAGUGGUUUUGGAUCGAGAGAUUUAAUCUGAGCCCAUUUCUUGUAAUGUAUUUUAAAG